GAGGGUCCCCUGUGCUCCGUUUCUGGGAACCGGAUCUCGGGCUGCGGGAGGGGAACACAAAUGACAGGCCUCGUGCCAGCUCCGUUGCCGGGAGCGGGUGCUCCGGGCGCCGCGUGCGGGUCCGGGGACUGGAGAGCCCACAAAGAGGCCCUAAAGUGGAACCCAUCACGAAGGUGGAUUGAGUGGUAUGGGCCAGAGGCCCGUGGUAGGAGGAAUGGGCGCUGGUCGCCAGAAGGGCGACCGAAGAGGCGGUGAGCCGAAGAAGAAGCGGCAGCAGCCGCGGUACAAGCGCCACGUCGACCCUGUGCUCUCUUCUUGGGAGACCGCGGCGGCGCCCAGCCUUUAUACCCGCCCCGUGCGUCCCGCCGCCUCUCUGCGACGUCACGUGCACCCCCGGCCAAUCGCCAGGCGGCUUUCACCGCUGCGCGCAGCGGGCCAAUUGCGGGGCGCUUCUCGCCUUCUCCCUCCAGUCCGGCCCCGCCCCGCUCUCCGCGUGGUCCCUGAGGACCUGGGGGGCGGUGCAGCCACGAGCCGGUCGAAGAAGGGCGCUCCAGGGGUUGCCAUGGUGAUCCUAACGGUCCAACGGCUCCCUUUGGUGUCUCAGCUUCCGGUAGCUUUUUUUUUUUUUUUUUUCUCUCGGUAGCUUCUGAUAGCGGAUGGAGGAGAGGCGGUCGGCGAAACAGAGGUGGUGUGCAGGGGGCUGGCUGCAGGAGGUGUGGAGAUGGAUAGAGGAGAGUGGCAGCCGGCGCUGGCCGUGAGCCUGGGGCAUCUGCAGUUCAGACCCGGCUGGCUGGAGGGCGAGGACACGUGUGGGCUGGAGCAGACAUCGAUCCUGCAGCCACCAUCACGGGACGCUGUCUUCCAACACUACUAUUCACAACUCAUAUACGUGGUGAAGGUCAGGCCAGCUCUGCCCCCGCUUCCAGGCCCCCUUCCCGGAGUUGGGGGGCGCACAGACAUCGGCCUUCCUACUGUGAACCUGUCCCGAAGUUGAGGAAGAAACCCUCCAGCUCUCGAACCCGUGCCUCCUGCAGCCCCAGGUGCUCGGGGUAUUCCUUUAACGUCUACGCCUCCACGUCCUGGUGGGAGAACCUGGACCUGAGCAGCCCCAGCUCAGCCAACGAGUCCUGUGUGCGUGUGGGCUGGGGCUCUCCUGGGACACGGCCACAGGCGCCCUGCCCAGCGUCAGGUAUUUCUCUUGAGACGUUUUUCAGCCUCUCCAGUCAGAGCGCAGGGCAUCCGUCUCGCCCUCUGGAGACAACUCUCCAGAAGACGAGGACACCCCAGCUGACCCAAACACAGAAGAGCCAGAUAAAACUGGUCGGAGGCCCGCGGUCUUCAGGUACACGGCCCAUCAGCACCUCAGCAGUGAGGCCCCCACCCCCAGGGGGAACCACACCCUGCACGGGUCCGAGCGCCGGCCACGAGACGCUGGCGUUUCCCAGCCUGUCUCCCAGGACUCAGCCACCCAAGCCUGCAGAGACAUCCGCCUGCCCAGUCCCCGCGGUGGGAGGCCGAGGCCCGCCGGGGCCCGGGGUCUCGGGGUCUCGGGGUCUCGGGGUCUCGGGCUGGUCCCGCCCGGCUGAGGAUGCGCUGCUACCGUGGAUGCAGGUGGAUCUCCCGGCCUCCCGCCAGCCUCACCGAGUGACUGAACUGCUGCUAGGGUGA
ensembl:lncRNA